rnacentral:rRNA from 1 species
UACGUAGGGUGCAAGCGUUGUCCGGAAUUAUUGGGCGUAAAGAGCUCGUAGGCGGUUUGUCGCGUCUGCUGUGAAAACGCGAGGCUCAACCUCGCGCCUGCAGUGGGUACGGGCAGACUAGAGUGUGGUAGGGGAGAUUGGAAUUCCUGGUGUAGCGGUGAAAUGCGCAGAUAUCAGGAGGAACACCCGUGGCGAAAGCGGCUCUCUGGGACGGUACUGACGCUGAGACGCGAAAGCGUGGGGAGCAAACAGG